UAGCCUAGUCAGUAAAGAAUCUGCCUGCAAUGCAGUAGGCCCAGGUUCGAUUCCUGG
rnacentral:tRNA from 1 species